GACGAACGCUGGCGGCGUGCUUAACACAUGCAAGUCGAACGGAAAGGCCCUGCUAUUUUGGGGUGCUCGAGUGGCGAACGGGUGAGUAACACGUGAGUAACCUGCCCUUGACUUUGGGAUAACUUCAGGAAACUGGGGCUAAUACCGGAUAGGAGCUCCUGCUGCAUGGUGGGGGUUGGAACGUUUCGGCGGUUGGGGAUGGACUCGCGGCUUAUCAGCUUGUUGGUGGGGUAGUGGCUUACCAAGGCUUUGACGGGUAGCCGGCCUGAGAGGGGGACCGGGCACAUUGGGACUGAGAUACGGCCCAGACGCCUACGGGGGGCAGCAGUGGGGAAUAUUGCACAAUGGGCGGAAGCCUGAUGCAGCAACGCCGCGGGCGGGAUGACGGCCUGCGGGUUGUAAACCGCUUUCGCCUGUGACGAAGCGGGAGUGACGGUAAUGGGUAAAGAAGCACCGGCUAACUACGUG
rnacentral:rRNA from 1 species